rnacentral:rRNA from 1 species
GAUGAACGCUAGCGGCAGGCCUAACACAUGCAAGUCGAACGGUAACAUUAAUUGCUUGCAAUUAGAUGACGAGUGGCGCACGGGUGCGUAACGCGUAUGCAACCUACCCAUUACUGGGGGAUAGCCCUUGGAAACGAGGAUUAAUACCCCAUAACAUUUAUGAGUGGCAUCACUUAUAUCUUAAAGGUUACGGUAAUGGAUGGGCAUGCGUCCCAUUAGCUAGUUGGUGAGGUAACUGCUCACCAAGGCUACGAUGGGUAGGGGGUCUGAGAGGAUUGUCCCCCACACUGGUACUGAGACACGGACCAG